rnacentral:rRNA from 1 species
GUCGAACGAAGUCGCCUAAUUGAAAUGAGAUGCUUGCAUCGAUUUGAUUUUAGAUACGACUGAGUGGCGAACUGGUGAGUAACACGUGGGUAACCUGCCCAGAAGAGGGGGAUAACACCUGGAAACAGAUGCUAAUACCGUAUAACAACAAGAACCGCAUGGUUCUUGCUUGAAAGCUGGCCUUUGUGCUAGUGCUUCUGGAUGGACCCGCGGCGUAUUAGCUAGUUGGUGAGAUAAUAGCUCACCAAGGCGAUGAUACGUAGCAGACCUGAGAGGGUAAUCUGCCACAAUGGGACUGAGACACGGCCCAUACUCCUACGGGAGGCAGCAGUAGGGAAUCUUCCACAAUGGACGAAAGUCUGAUGGAGCAACGCCGCGUGAGUGAAGAAGGGUUUCGGCUCGUAAAACUCUGUUGUUAGAGAAGAAUGGCUGUGAGAGUAACUGCUCACAGUGUGACGGUAUCUAACCAGAAAGUCACGGCUAACUACGUGCCAGCAGCCGCGGUAAUACGUAGGUGGCAAACGUUGUCCGGAUUUAUUGGGCGUAAAGGGAGCGCAGGCGGUUUAUUAAGUCUGAUGUGAAAGCCUUCGGCUUAACCGGAGAAGUGCGUCGGAAACUGAUAAACUUGAGUGCAGAAAAGGAUAGUGGAACUUCAUGUGUAGCGGUGAAAUGCGUAGAUAUAUGAAGGAACACCAGUGGCGAAGGCGGCUAUCUGGUCUGUAACUGACGCUGAGGCUCGAAAGCAUGGGUAGCAAACAGGAUUAGAUACCCUGGUAGUCCAUGCCGUAAACGAUGAAUGCUAGGUGUUGGGAGGUUUCCGCCUCUCAGUGCCGCAGCUAACGCAUUAAGCAUUCCGCCUGGGGAGUACGACCGCAAGGUUGAAACUCAAAGGAAUUGACGGGGACCCGCACAAGCGGUGGAGCAUGUGGUUUAAUUCGAUGCUACGCGAAGAACCUUACCAGGACUUGACAUCUUCUGCCAAUCUAAGAGAUUAGACGUUCCCUUCGG